rnacentral:lncRNA from 1 species
AAACUGCUCUACCACUGAACUACAUCCCCAGUCCUUUUUAUGUUUUUAUUUCAGGAUAGAGUUUCACUAAGUUGCUGAGGCUGGCCUUGAACUUGCAAUCCUCCAGCCUCAACUCCUGAGUUCCUGGAAUUGCAGACAUGCACUGUGCCCAGCUUUAGUUCUACUCUACCAUGGCCUAAAUAACAUGGAAAAAGCUAUGUUGGAAAUUGCAUUUUUCUUCUUUAUGCCAUCUUUACUUGUCAUCUAAAAGGUGAUAAAUGUAUUAUGUUAACUUAUUAGGAGAAUUGAGGAAUGUACUGAUAUCUUGCUACAUGUUGGUAUUUCUAAAUAUUUAAGACUGUAUUUGAUCUAAAAUGGAAAUGUCACUAUGAUUUUCAACCCCUCCCAGGUAUUUCUUAAUCAACAACCUUGGUUAGUGACUUUCACUCUACUUGAGGUCUAAGUGGGUAAUGGAGGGGGUUAAGCUAUGCGCCACAGGCCAAGCUUCACUGUCCGUUUUAUUAGAAGAACUUUUGUUGGAAUACAGUUACACCCAUUCAUUUAUUUGUUGUCCAUGUUUGCUUUUACAUUACAACAGCAGAGUUGAGUCCUAGAGAUAAAGACCAUAUGUCUUGCAAAGUAAAAAAAAAAAAAAAUGCAAGCAAUGGAGCUCAGUGGUAAAGCACUUGCCUAUCGGGUGCAAGGUGCUGUGUUUGAACCCCAGCAACAACCAAAAGGAAAGAAAAAGCUAACCCUUGCUUUGUUCAUAAUCUACCCCAUGCUGUCUUACUCUCUCUGUUUAAAAAGAGAAGCAAAAUAUGUCCAGUUUCAGAAGAAAGAUAAUGUGAAAUAAGCCACAUACAGCGGUUUUGUCCAUUUACUGUUGUCAUUCAUCCAUUGAAAUAAGUAUACUCAACUCAUCCUUCUAUUCCCAGACAAGUGGAAAGAGUAAAACAUUGCACAAGAUGAUUCAAUUUAAUAUCACUUUUUAAACUGAAGAGUCUUCUCACGGUAUAAGUCAUUUUCAACCUUAAACUGUUGAGGCAAAUUAGAAAUAAAACUCCUUGU